GACGAACGCUGGCGGCGUGCUUAACACAUGCCAGUCGAACGGAAAGGCCCUGCUUUUGUGGGGUGCUCGAGUGGCGAACGGGUGAGUAACACGUGAGUAACCUGCCCUUGACUUUGGGAUAACUUCAGGAAACUGGGGCUAAUACCGGAUAGGAGCUCCUGCUGCAUGGUGGGGGUUGGAAAGUUUCGGCGGGUGGGGAUGGACUCGCGGCUUAUCAGCUUGUUGGUGGGGUAGUGGCUUACCAAGGCUUUGACGGGUAGCCGGCCUGAGAGGGUGGCCGGGCACAAUGGGACUGAGAUACGGCCCAGACUCCGACGGGAGGCAGCAGGGGGGAAUAUUGCACAAUGGGCGGAAGCCUGAUGCAGCAACGCCGCGUGCGGGAUGACGGCCUUCGGGUUGUAAACCGCUUUCGCCUGUGACGAAGCGUGAGUGACGGUAAUGGGUAAAGAAGCACCGGCUAACUACGUG
rnacentral:rRNA from 1 species